rnacentral:rRNA from 1 species
CGGGCACACGAUGGAUGCCUUGGCACCAGCAGGCGAUGAAGGACGCGGCUUGCUGCGAUAUGCCCCGGGGAGCCGCGAGCAGGCUUUGAUCCGGGGAUUUCCGAAUGGGGAAACCCUAUGGGCGUCCGGCCCAUAACCGUGCGCUGAACACAUAGGCGCACGGGGCGAUACCGGGGGAAGUGAAACAUCUCAGUACCCCGAGGAGCAGAAAUCAAGACGAGAUUCCGCGAGUAGUGGCGAGCGAAACCGGAAGAGGCCAAACCGCGGGGCUUGCCCCGCGGGGUUGCGGGAGCGCCGCAUGGCAUCGUUUCUGCAUAGCCGAACGGUCUGGAAAGUCCGGCCACAGGGGGUGAAAGCCCCGUAGGCGAAAUGCAGGAGCGGCCUGGCGAAUUCCCAAGUAGGACGGGACACGUGAAACCCCGUCCGAAUCCGGGGGGCCCACCCCCCAAGCCUAAAUACUCGCUGGUGACCGAUAGUGAACGAGUACCGUGAGGGAAAGGUGAAAAGAACCGCUGCUAGCGGAGUGAAAGAGACCUGAAAUCGUGUGCCCACAAAGCUGUAGGAGCCCCGCAAGGGGUGACUGCUUGCCUUUUGCAUAAUGAGUCCGCGAGUCACGGUGGGCGGCGAGGUUAACCCCUCCGGGGGGCAGCCGCAGCGAAAGCGAGUCCGAAAUGGGCGCCCGAGUCGUCCGCCGUGGACCCGAAGCCCAGUGAGCUACCCUUGGCCAGGUUGAAGCCUCGGUAACACGAGGUGGAGGACCGAACCGGUGACCGUUGAAAAGGUCUCGGAUGAGCUGAGGGUGGGAGUGAAAGGCUUAACAAACUGGGUGAUAGCUGGUUCUCCUCGAAAUGCCUUUAGGGGCAGCCUUCGCGAUUGCACGCGACGGGGGUAGAGCACUGAAUGGUCUAGGGCCCCUACCGGGGUACCGAAGCCUCUCAAACUCCGAAUACCGUCGCCGUCACGCGGGGAGUGAGACUGUGGGGGCUAAGCUUCAUAGUCGAAAGGGAAACAGCCCAGCCCGCCGGCCAAGGCCCCGAAAUCCGGUUGAGUCACUAAGGAUGUGGAGUCUCGCAGACAGCUAGGAUGUUGGCUUAGAGGCAGCCAUCAUUUAAACAGUGCGUAAUAGCUGACUAGUCGAGAGAUUCCGCGCCGAAAAUGAUCGGGAGUAAACCGGAUGCCGAAGCCGCGGACCCCCGCAAGGGGGUGGUAGAGGAGCGUUCCGCACGGGUCGAAGCGCAAGGGGAACCGAGCGUGGACUGUGCGGAAGUGACUAUGCGGACAUGAGUAACGAAAAGUGGGGUGAGAAUCCCCACCGCCGGAAUUCCAAGGUUUCCCGGGGCAGGUUCGUCCGCCCGGGGUUAGUCGGUGCCUAAGGCGAGGCCGAAAGGCGUAGUCGAUGGACAACGGGUCAACAUUCCCGUACUGCCGGUGAGAGUUCGAGCGAUGGAGCGAGCAGGAGGCUACCCCCGCGACCUGAUGGAUGGUCGUCCAAGCCCCGAGGGGGCCCGCGCAGGCAAAUCCGCGCGGGCAACCCCGAUGGGUGAUGGUGAGCGCCCCGCGAGGGGCGCGAAGCGGGAGAUGCCCGGCUGCCAAGAAAACCUCCUAGUGAUCGAUCCGGCAACCGUACCUAAACCGACACAGGUGGAAGGGUACUAGAAUACCAAGGCGCGCGAGAGAAACCUCGUUAAGGAACUCGGCAACAUGACCCCGUAACUUAGGGAGAAGGGGUCCCCCGCGAGGGGGCGCAGUGAACGGGCCCAGGCGACUGUUUAACAAAAACACAGCACUCUGCCAACACGCAAGUGGACGUAUAGAGUGUGACACGUGACCAAUGCCGAAAGGUCAAGGCAAGGGGUCAGCCGCAAGGCGAAGCUCCGAACCAAAGCCCCGGUGAAUGUCGGCCGUAACUAUAACGGUCCUAAGGUAGCGAAAUUCCUUGUCGGGUAAGUUCCGACCUGCACGAAUCGUGUAACGAUCUGGGCGCUGUCUCAACGAGGAUCUCGGUGAAGUUGUAAUGGCGGUGAAAAUGCCGCAUACCCGCAGAAGGACGGAAAGACCCCAUGAACCUUUACUGUAGUCUGGCAGUGGCGUCUGGUCAUCCAUAUGUAGCAUAGCUGGGAGUCUCGGAAGCGGAGCCGUCAGGUUCCGUGGAGACGUCAGUGAAAUACCAGUUUUGGAUGGGCGGACGUCUAACCGCGGCCCGUGAUCCGGGCGCGGGACCCUGCCAGAGGGUCAGUUUGACUGGGGCGGUUUCCUCCCAAACAGUAACGGAGGAGUUCGAAGGUACCCUCAGCACGGUCGGCAAUCGUGCGCAGAGCGCAAUGGCAGAAGGGUGCUUAACUGCGAGACCCACAAGUCGAGCAGAUGCGAAAGCAGGACAUAGUGAUCCGGCGGUCGCUCGUGGUAGCGCCGUCGCUCAACGGAUAAAAGGUACUCUGGGGAUAACAGGCUGAUCGCGGCCGAGAGUUCACAUCGACGCCGCGGUUUGGCACCUCGAUGUCGGCUCAUCGCAUCCUGGGGCUGGAGAAGGUCCCAAGGGUUUGGCUGUUCGCCAAUUAAAGCGGUACGCGAGCUGGGUUCAGAACGUCGUGAGACAGUUCGGUCCAUAUCCUCUGUGGGCGCAGGAGAUUUGAGGAGAACAUUCCCCAGUACGAGAGGACCGGGAAUGACGCACCUCUGGUGUUCCAGUUGUCGCGCCAGCGGCAUCGCUGGGUAGCUAUGUGCGGAAAGGAUAAGCGCUGAAUGCAUCUAAGCGCCAAGCCUCCUCCAAGACAAGAUCUCCCGGGGCGCAAGCCCCCUCAAGGCCGGUUGA